UAUAUCCACAAUUGCAGUUCAUAUACCAGAAGAGUUCUGUCCUUCAUAGCUCACUUAUCUUUGGUGUGUACUUGCAAUCCCAUAAUAUACUAGUAAUUGCUAAUGAGACAUUGACAAAUGAUGUAUCUUAAGUGAGAUGCAUUCUCAUUAUUUGACAUUUCACUUUCUUAUCCUAUUAUGUAGGUAUGUUCCAUCCAAAGUUGGGUUGUUUUUGCAAUUUUAAACGGCUAAACUGUUUGAAAGAGUUUUCUUUGUUAAAGGAACUUUUCUAUGAUUUGAAAACUUUUGUAAUUUAGUGUAGUGAAUUCUCUCAUCUGCUGUGUCAUCAACCACUACAUUUUGAGAAAAAUCUGAUGCUUCCUUUUAGAGUCAAAAUCAUGAGAAUAUGUUGCUAGUGCAUCGUGGUGUAUGUUACUAUAAGUUUGCUCAAGAUUAGACUAUUUUGGUUGAGUAUUUUUCUGCUGAUAUAACACUAGCCUCUGACUUUUAUUUUAUCUGAUUAGGAAAAGCUGAAUGUCUUCUUGAACCUGGCAACCCUUAGAACCAUAGCAACCAUCUAGCUAUCCAGUUUACCGAUCCAAUUUAUUGUAGUCGUUCUUGAUUCAGUGUACGUGCAAACAAAGGUUUUACCCCUCAAAACAAUAAAGAGAAAGAUCCCACAUUGGAUCUCACUCGCGAGAAUAGUAGUGUUGCUGAGGAGCUGUUAGUGGGAGUGGUGUCUACAAGAAAGCAAAAAUCAACACUAGAUAAAUUAUGGUAACUUUGCAUGCUCUCUUUUGCUGCAGGGUGCCAUUCUGAUUAAUAUUGCUCGAGGUGGUCUCUUGGACUAUGACGCUGUUUUUAAUCAUCUCAAAUCGGGACAUUUGGGCGGUUUAGGAAUUGAUGUUGCUUGGGCUGAACCAUUUGAUCCUGAUGAUGCUAUCCUUAAAUUUCCAGAGGUUAUAAUCACACCCCACAUUGCUGGUGUUACAGAAAAGUCCUAUAGAUACAUGGCCAAGGUUGUCGGGGACGUUGCUCUUCAACUACAUGCAGGAGAACGUUUUACAGGAAUAGAGAUUGUCAAUUGAAGCAAGCAGUAACUGUCAAUAUGAUGAAGAAACAUUCGUGUGUCCUAAUAAAUUAUUUAUGUGAUAUGCAUUGAAUAAUAAUGAGGAGAUUGUUAUAUUUUUUGUGUCUGAGAAAUCAGUCAGGGGCCAACCCUUGCAACCUUUGACAGUUUCUUAACCUUUGCUGCUUCAUGUAAAUAUUAGUAACUAAUACCGCCAACAAAACGCUACAUUAGUUAUGCGGCACUUAAUUUUUUUGUUAUGUGACCAACCAAACACUUUAUUAUGUUAUGGAAAAUUUUAUGUUGGGAUUAA